GACCUGGUGGUGAAAUGUAUCACACCCACUCUGCCUCACUCAACUCUAAGUGCGUUUUGUGGGAAUCCCUGGUUCAAAUCCAGGUCAGGUCA